ACGGCUCAGUAACACGUGGACACUUACCCAAGAGUCCGGGAUAACCCCGGGAAACUGGGGAUAAUACCGGAUAGAUCAUCUGUGCUGGAAGGCUGGGUAGUUGAAACUUCCGGGGCUUUUGGAUGGGUCUGCGGCUGAUUAGGUUGUUGCCGGUGUAACGUACCGUCAAGCCUGUAAUCAGUACGGGUUGUGGGAGCAAGAGCCCGGAGAUGGAUUCUGAGACACGAAUCCAGGCCCUACGGGGCGCAGCAGGCGCGAAAACUCUACAAUGCAGGCAACUGCGAUAGGGGAACAUCGAGUGAUCCUCAUAUUGGGGGUCUGUCCACCCGUCUAAAAAACGGGUGUUAGCAAGGGCCGGGCAAGACCGGUGCCAGCCGCCGCGGUAAUACCGGCGGCUCGAGUGGUGGCCGAUAUUAUUGAGUCUAAAGGGUCCGUAGCCGGCUUUGCAAGUCUCUCGGGAAAUCCAGCGGCUUAACCGUUGGUCGUCCGGGGGGUACUACAUUGCUUGGGACUGGGAGAGGUAGGAGGUACUCAGGGGGUAGGAGUGAAAUCCUGUAAUCCUUUGGGGACCACCGGUGGCGAAGGCGUCCUACCAGAACAGGUCCGACGGUGAGGGACGAAAGCUAGGGGCACGAACCGGAUUAGAUACCCGGGUAGUCCUAGCCGUAAACGAUGCUCGCUAGGUGUCACAACAGUCGUGAAUUGUUGUGGUGCCGUAGGGAAGCCGUGAAGCGAGCCACUUGGGAAGUACGACCGCAAGGUUGAAACUUAGAGGAAUUGGCGGGGGAGCAC
rnacentral:rRNA from 1 species